AUUGAACGCUGGCGGCAGGCCUAACACAUGCAAGUCGAGCGGAUGACAGGAGCUUGCUCCUUGACUCAGCGGCGGACGGGUGAGUAAUGCCUAGGAAUCUGCCUGGUAGUGGGGGACAACGUUUCGAAAGGAACGCUAAUACCGCAUACGUCCUACGGGAGAAAGCAGGGGACCUUCGGGCCUUGCGCUAUCAGAUGAGCCUAGGUCGGAUUAGCUAGUUGGUGGGGUAAUGGCUCACCAAGGCGACGAUCCGUAACUGGUCUGAGAGGAUGAUCAGUCUCACUGGAACUGAGACACGGGCCAGACUCCUACGGGAGGCAGCAGUGGGGAAUAUUGGACAAUGGGCGAAAGCCUGAUCCAGCCAUGCCGCGUGUGUGAAGAAGGUCUUCGGAUUGUAAAGCACUUUAAGUUGGGAGGAAGGGCAGUAAGUUAAUACCUUGCUGUUUUGAGGUUACCGACAGAAUAAGCACCGGCUAACUCUGUACCAGCCGCCGCGGUAAAAC
rnacentral:rRNA from 1 species